rnacentral:rRNA from 1 species
UUAUCGGAUUUAUUGGGUUUAAAGGGAGCGUAGAUGGAUGUUUAAGUCAGUUGUGAAAGUUUGCGGCUCAACCGUAAAAUUGCAGUUGAUACUGGAUGUCUUGAGUGCAGUCGAGGCAGGCGGAAUUCGUGGUGUAGCGGUGAAAUGCUUAGAUAUCACGAAGAACUCCGAUUGCGAAGGCAGCCUGCUAAGCUGCAACUGACAUUGAGGCUCGAAAGUGUGGGUAUCAAACAGGAUUAGAUACCCUGGUAGUCCACACGGUAAACGAUGAAUACUCGCUGUUUGCGAUAUACGGCAAGCGGCCAAGCGAAAGCGUUAAGUAUUCCACCUGGGGAGUACGCCGGCAACGGUGAAACUCAAAGGAAUUGACGGGGGCCCGCACAAGCGGAGGAACAUGUGGUUUAAUUCGAUGAUACGCGAGGAACCUUACCCGGGCUUAAAUUGCACUCGAAUGAUCCGGAAACGGUUCAGCUAGCAAUAGCGAGUGUGAAGGUGCUGCAUGGUUGUCGUCAGCUCGUGCCGUGAGGUGUCGGCUUAAGUGCCAUAACGAGCGCAACCCUUGUUGUCAGUUACUAACAGGUGAUGCUGAGGACUCUGACAAGACUGCCAUCGUAAGAUGUGAGGAAGGUGGGGAUACGU